rnacentral:rRNA from 1 species
UUAAGCGACUAAGCGUACACGGUGGAUGCCCUGGCAGUCAGAGGCGAUGAAGGACGUGCUAAUCUGCGAUAAGCGUCGGUAAGGUGAUAUGAACCGUUAUAACCGGCGAUUUCCGAAUGGGGAAACCCAGUGUGAUUCGUCACACUAUCAUUAACUGAAUCCAUAGGUUAAUGAGGCGAACCGGGGGAACUGAAACAUCUAAGUACCCCGAGGAAAAGAAAUCAACCGAGAUUCCCCCAGUAGCGGCGAGCGAACGGGGAGCAGCCCAGAGCCUGAAUCAGUGUGUGUGUUAGUGGAAGCGUCUGGAAAGGCGCGCGAUACAGGGUGACAGCCCCGUACACAAAAAUGCACAUGCUGUGAGCUCGAUGAGUAGGGCGGGACACGUGGUAUCCUGUCUGAAUAUGGGGGGACCAUCCUCCAAGGCUAAAUACUCCUGACUGACCGAUAGUGAACCAGUACCGUGAGGGAAAGGCGAAAAGAACCCCGGCGAGGGGAGUGAAAAAGAACCUGAAACCGUGUACGUACAAGCAGUGGGAGCACGCUUAGGCGUGUGACUGCGUACCUUUUGUAUAAUGGGUCAGCGACUUAUAUUCUGUAGCAAGGUUAACCGAAUAGGGGAGCCGAAGGGAAACCGAGUCUUAACUGGGCGUUAAGUUGCAGGGUAUAGACCCGAAACCCGGUGAUCUAGCCAUGGGCAGGUUGAAGGUUGGGUAACACUAACUGGAGGACCGAACCGACUAAUGUUGAAAAAUUAGCGGAUGACUUGUGGCUGGGGGUGAAAGGCCAAUCAAACCGGGAGAUAGCUGGUUCUCCCCGAAAGCUAUUUAGGUAGCGCCUCGUGAAUUCAUCUCCGGGGGUAGAGCACUGUUUCGGCAAGGGGGUCAUCCCGACUUACCAACCCGAUGCAAACUGCGAAUACCGGAGAAUGUUAUCACGGGAGACACACGGCGGGUGCUAACGUCCGUCGUGAAGAGGGAAACAACCCAGACCGCCAGCUAAGGUCCCAAAGUCAUGGUUAAGUGGGAAACGAUGUGGGAAGGCCCAGACAGCCAGGAUGUUGGCUUAGAAGCAGCCAUCAUUUAAAGAAAGCGUAAUAGCUCACUGGUCGAGUCGGCCUGCGCGGAAGAUGUAACGGGGCUAAACCAUGCACCGAAGCUGCGGCAGCGACGCUUAUGCGUUGUUGGGUAGGGGAGCGUUCUGUAAGCCUGCGAAGGUGUACUGUGAGGUAUGCUGGAGGUAUCAGAAGUGCGAAUGCUGACAUAAGUAACGAUAAAGCGGGUGAAAAGCCCGCUCGCCGGAAGACCAAGGGUUCCUGUCCAACGUUAAUCGGGGCAGGGUGAGUCGACCCCUAAGGCGAGGCCGAAAGGCGUAGUCGAUGGGAAACAGGUUAAUAUUCCUGUACUUGGUGUUACUGCGAAGGGGGGACGGAGAAGGCUAUGUUGGCCGGGCGACGGUUGUCCCGGUUUAAGCGUGUAGGCUGGUUUUCCAGGCAAAUCCGGAAAAUCAAGGCUGAGGCGUGAUGACGAGGCACUACGGUGCUGAAGUAACAAAUGCCCUGCUUCCAGGAAAAGCCUCUAAGCAUCAGGUAACAUCAAAUCGUACCCCAAACCGACACAGGUGGUCAGGUAGAGAAUACCAAGGCGCUUGAGAGAACUCGGGUGAAGGAACUAGGCAAAAUGGUGCCGUAACUUCGGGAGAAGGCACGCUGAUAUGUAGGUGAAGUCCCUUGCGGAUGGAGCUGAAAUCAGUCGAAGAUACCAGCUGGCUGCAACUGUUUAUUAAAAACACAGCACUGUGCAAACACGAAAGUGGACGUAUACGGUGUGACGCCUGCCCGGUGCCGGAAGGUUAAUUGAUGGGGUCAGCGCAAGCGAAGCUCUUGAUCGAAGCCCCGGUAAACGGCGGCCGUAACUAUAACGGUCCUAAGGUAGCGAAAUUCCUUGUCGGGUAAGUUCCGACCUGCACGAAUGGCGUAAUGAUGGCCAGGCUGUCUCCACCCGAGACUCAGUGAAAUUGAACUCGCUGUGAAGAUGCAGUGUACCCGCGGCAAGACGGAAAGACCCCGUGAACCUUUACUAUAGCUUGACACUGAACAUUGAGCCUUGAUGUGUAGGAUAGGUGGGAGGCUUAGAAGUGUGGACGCCAGUCUGCAUGGAGCCGACCUUGAAAUACCACCCUUUAAUGUUUGAUGUUCUAACGUUGACCCGUAAUCCGGGUUGCGGACAGUGUCUGGUGGGUAGUUUGACUGGGGCGGUCUCCUCCUAAAGAGUAACGGAGGAGCACGAAGGUUGGCUAAUCCUGGUCGGACAUCAGGAGGUUAGUGCAAUGGCAUAAGCCAGCUUGACUGCGAGCGUGACGGCGCGAGCAGGUGCGAAAGCAGGUCAUAGUGAUCCGGUGGUUCUGAAUGGAAGGGCCAUCGCUCAACGGAUAAAAGGUACUCCGGGGAUAACAGGCUGAUACCGCCCAAGAGUUCAUAUCGACGGCGGUGUUUGGCACCUCGAUGUCGGCUCAUCACAUCCUGGGGCUGAAGUAGGUCCCAAGGGUAUGGCUGUUCGCCAUUUAAAGUGGUACGCGAGCUGGGUUUAGAACGUCGUGAGACAGUUCGGUCCCUAUCUGCCGUGGGCGCUGGAGAACUGAGGGGGGCUGCUCCUAGUACGAGAGGACCGGAGUGGACGCAUCACUGGUGUUCGGGUUGUCAUGCCAAUGGCACUGCCCGGUAGCUAAAUGCGGAAGAGAUAAGUGCUGAAAGCAUCUAAGCACGAAACUUGCCCCGAGAUGAGUUCUCCCUGACCCUUUAAGGGUCCUGAAGGAACGUUGAAGACGACGACGUUGAUAGGCCGGGUGUGUAAGCGCAGCGAUGCGUUGAGCUAACCGGUACUAAUGAACCGUGAGGCUUAACCUU